rnacentral:rRNA from 1 species
GACUCUCGGCAACGCAUAUCUUGGCUCUCGCAUCGAUGAAGAAUGUAGCGAAAUGCGAUACCUAGUGUGAAUUGCAGAAUCCCACGAACCAUCAAGUCUUUGAACGCAAGUUGCGCUUCAGGCCACUCGGCCGAGGGCACACCUGCCUGGGCGUCA